GGGCGUGUAGCUCAGCCUGGUUAGAGCACUGGUCUUAUACACCAGGAGUCGGGGGUUCAAAUCCUCCCACGCCCA
rnacentral:tRNA from 2 species